rnacentral:tRNA from 1 species
UAGCUCAGUCGGUAAAGAAUCUGCCUGCAACGCAGGAGAUCCAGGUUCAAAUCCUGG